rnacentral:lncRNA from 1 species
AUUUAAGCCUGUAUUGAGAACAAUCAAUUUUAUGCAUUCAAAACAUAGGGCCAUCUUAGAUUAUAGAAAUUAUGAUUUUCAUCAGUAUAAGAAAGUAUGUAAAAGUGGCUAUCUUACCAAGUACUUUUCUGAUAUAUUGUAGUUAAUUCAUCAAAUACAUCUUCUUAGAUUAUCUCACUGACAUUUGUCACAUGUGGAUGAUUUUUAAAGACACUGUAGGAUUUGGACCUAUAAAGCUAAUGGCUUUAGUGAAAAAAGGACAGAGAUAAAGUUGUAUUUACUUUUGUCUUAAUGCCUUUAAUCUUAUGAAUUGAAAAUUCAAAGGAAAAGAACAAGUAGAAAGUCACUUGGUCAACAUUUGUUUUCCUUGAUUUAAUUUUACUGUUUCCUUGGAAACUUAUUUUGCAAAUAUUACCAUAAUAAUAAUACCACAAUAUUAUCAUUGAAAAGGUUACCAAUUCUUUUUUUUUAAAUUCCCAUUCAUUUUUCAAAGUUGACUGCUAGUGGACUCGGUAUUUGUGUGUGUGUGUGUUUUCACUUAAAAUGGCUGUCUCAUUAUUUAAAAUUUAUAACUAUUUUUGAGUGUACAAACUGAUUAGCUAUUUAUAAUACUAUUACAGUACAGCAUUGUAAUUUGAGAAAGAAAACAAGUUAGGAUUUAGGUGGGAUUG